CGCCUUACUAAGAUUGAGUCAUUUCAUACCUUUUGCUAACGUAGAUGCCAAGGAGCUAUCUGGUGCUCAUCCUGCUGAAAUACAAAGCUUUGGUAAAGUGGAUUGGAUCUUCUAAUCAUUACACGCAUUUAGAUCCUCUAAGUGGAGAACCUCUCAUUAAAUUUGCUGAAGUUGAUGAAGCAGU